rnacentral:rRNA from 1 species
UACAGAGGGUGCAAGCGUUGUUCGGAAUUACUGGGCGUAAAGCGCGCGCAGGCGGUCUUCCAAGUCAGUGGUGAAAGCCCGGAGCUCAACUCCGGAACUGCCAUUGAAACUGUUGGACUUGAGUACGAGAGAGGUGAGUGGAAUUCCCAGUGUAGAGGUGAAAUUCGUAGAUAUUGGGAAGAACACCGGUGGCGAAGGCGGCUCACUGGCUCGUAACUGACGCUCAGGCGCGACAGCGUGGGGAUCAAACAGG